GAUGAUAUCGUAYGUCUGACGGAGCACGCCGCGUGAGUGGAUGAAGGCUUUCGGGUCGUAAAACUCUGUUGUUAGGGAAGAACAAGUGCUAGUUGAAUAAGCUGGCACCUUGACGGUACCUAACCAGAAAGCCACGGCUAACUACGUGCCAGCAGCCGCGGUAAUACGUAGGUGGCAAGCGUUAUCCGGAAUUAUUGGGCGUAAAGCGCGCGCAGGUGGUUUCUUAAGUCUGAUGUGAAAGCCCACGGCUCAACCGUGGAGGGUCAUUGGAAACUGGGAGACUUGAGUGCAGAAGAGGAAAGUGGAAUUCCAUGUGUAGCGGUGAAAUGCGUAGAGAUAUGGAGGAACACCAGUGGCGAAGGCGACUUUCUGGUCUGUAACUGACACUGAGGCGCGAAAGCGUGGGGAGCAAACAGGAUUAGAUCCCCCUGGUAGA
rnacentral:rRNA from 1 species